GUUGUUGAUAUAAUUAUAUUACAUAUUUGAGUAAUCACAAUGACCUGGCCUCUUAUCAACGUCUCAUUUAUUAGAACCAUUUGUUUUAGUUCCACCAUUCAUUAUUUGAGUUUUCACAUUUUUCCAUUUUUCUUUUUAUUCUUUUUUCAUUGAGGGUGUGGCCUCCAUUGUGCUUUACCCCAGAUACAGAAGGCGUUUUAGAUUAUGAGUUGCAAAGAUAAUUGAUGUGGUAUGGCAG
rnacentral:misc_RNA from 1 species